UACAGAGGUCUCAAGCGUUGUUCGGAUUCAUUGGGCGUAAAGGGUGCGUAGGCGGCGCGGUAAGUCGGGUGUGAAAUCUUGGAGCUUAACUCCGAAACUGCAUUCGAUACUGCCGUGCUUGAGGACUGGAGAGGAGACUGGAAUUCAUGGUGUAGCAGUGAAAUGCGUAGAUAUCGUAAGGAAGACCAGUGGCGAAGGCGGGUCUCUGGACAGUUCCUGACGCUGAGGCACGAAGGUCAGGGGAGCAAACGGG
rnacentral:rRNA from 1 species